CGGUGAAAUGCGUAGAGAUUGGGAAGAACACCGGUGGCGAAAGCGCUCUGCUAGGCCAAAACUGACACUGAGGGACGAAAGCUAGGGGAGCGAAUGGGAUUAGAUACCCCAGUAGUCCUAGCCGUAAACGAUGGAUACUAGGUGUAGCUUGUAUCGACCCAAGCUGUGCCGUAGCUAACGCGUUAAGUAUCCCGCCUGGGGAGUACGCGCGCAAGCGUGAAACUCAAAGGAAUUGACGGGGGCCCGCACAAGCGGUGGAGUAUGUGGUUUAAUUCGAUGCAACGCGAAGAACCUUACCAGGACUUGACAUGUCGCGAAUCCCACUGAAAGGUGGGAGUGCCUUCGGGAGCGCGAACACAGGUGGUGCAUGGCUGUCGUCAGCUCGUG
rnacentral:rRNA from 1 species